UAUGUGAUCGUCUCUCGCAUAUCAAUAAGCGGAGGAAAAGAAACUAACAAGGAUUCCCCUAGUAACGGCGAGUGAAGCAGGAAGAGCUCAAAUUUGAAAUCUUAAAGGGUUUCCCUUUACGAAUUGUAGUUUAAAGAAGUGUUUUCUGUUGAGGUUUUGGUAAAAGUUCUUUGGAAUAGGACAUCAUAGAGGGUGAGAAUCCCGUAUUUGACCUUUACUUUCAACUUUGUGAUACACUUUCAAAGAGUCGGAUUGUUUGGGAAUGCAGUCCAAAAUGGGUGGUAAAUUUCAUCUAAAGCUAAAUAUUGGCGAGAGACCGAUAGCGAACAAGUACCGUGAGGGAAAGAUGAAAAGAACUUUGAAAAGAGAGUUAAACAGUACGUGAAAUUGUCAAAAGGGAAGCGUUUGACACCAGUGUUGUUUUUCUGAAAAUCAAUUAAAGAACUGUUUAUGCUAAGCUGUUUAGACUUUAUCAGCUAUCUGUUUAGUUUUGAGCUUUUCUUUAAUGCACUUCUCAGUUAACAAGUCAACAUCAAUUUCUUUUGCUGUAAAAAAGCUUGAGGAAGGUGGCUUGAGAUUCGUCUUAAGUGUUUAUAGCCUCUUGCCUAUGCAGUCGGAGAGAUUGAGGUCUGCAGCGUAGAUCCUUCGGGGCUAAAUGCAUUUGUGCUAAGUUAUAGCAUUUUAUAGACAACUUGUUGACUAUGAUUUGUCUUGUAGCUUACUCGCUUAUGUUAUUUUACCUACGCUUAGGAUGUUGAACGCGCACAGAGUCUC
rnacentral:rRNA from 1 species